rnacentral:rRNA from 1 species
AUUGAACGCUGGCGGCAGGCCUAACACAUGCAAGUCGAGCGGAGCGGCGGACGGGUGAGUAAUGCCUAGGAAUCUGCCUGGUAGUGGGGGAUAACGUCCGGAAACGGGCGCUAAUACCGCAUACUAUCAGAUGAGCCUAGGUCGGAUUAGCUAGUUGGUGGGGUAAAGGCCUACCAAGGCGACGAUCCGUAACUGGUCUGAGAGGGGGAUCAGUCACACUGGAACUGGGAAAAGGUCAAGACUCCUACGGGAGGCAGCAGGAGGGAAUGUUCGGCAAUGGGGGGAAACCUGACCGAGCAAAGCCGCGUGAGUGAAGACGGCCUUCGGGUUGUAAAGCUCCGUUAAUCGGGACGCGGUACCGGAAUAGAAAGCCACGGCUAACUACGUGCCAGCAGCCGCGGUAAUAC